UUGAUUUUAUGCUUGCAUAAAUGAUUUUUGGAUUCGGAGCGAGUGGCGAACUGGUGAGUAACACGUGGGUAACCUGCCCCGAAGCGGGGGAUAACAUUUGGAAACAAGUGCUAAUACCGCAUAAUUAGUUGGAACCGCAUGGUUCCAACUUGAAAGAUGGCUCUGCUAUCACUUUGGGAUGGACCCGCGCCGUAUUAGUUAGUUGGUGAGAUAAAAGCCCACCAAGACGAUGAUACGUAGCCGACCUGAGAGGGUAAUCGGCCACAUUGGGACUGAGACACGGCCCAGACUCCUACGGGAGGCAGCAGUAGGGAAUCUUCCACAAUGGACGAAAGUCUGAUGGAGCAACGCCGCGUGAGUGAUGAAGGUUUUCGGAUCGUAAAACUCUGUUGUUAAAGAAGAACAAGUGUUAGAGUAACUGUUAACACUUUGACGGUAUUUAACCAGAAAGCCACGGCUAACUACGUGCCAGCAGCCGCGGUAAUACGUAGGUGGCAAGCGUUGUCCGGAUUUAUUGGGCGUAAAGCGAGCGCAGGCGGUUUUGUAAGUCUGCUGUGAAAGCCCUCAGCUCAACUGAGGAAGUGCAGUGGAAACUACAAAACUUGAGUACAGAAGAGGAAAGUGGAACUCCAUGUGUAGCGGUGAAAUGCGUAGAUAUAUGGAAGAACACCAGUGGCGAAGGCGGCUUUCUGGUCUGUUACUGACGCUGAGGCUCGAAAGCAUGGGUAGCGAACAGGAUUAGAUACCCUGGUAGUCCAUGCCGUAAACGAUGAAUACUAGGUGUUGGAAGGGUUUCCGCCCUUCAGUGCCGCAGCUAACGCAUUAAGUAUUCCGCCUGGGGAGUACGACCGCAAGGUUGAAACUCAAAGGAAUUGACGGGGGCCCGCACAAGUGGUGGAGCAUGUGGUUUAAUUCGAUGCUACGCGAAGAACCUUACCAGCUCUUGACAUCUUCUGCCAACCCAAGAGAUUGGGCGUUCCCUUCGGGGACAGAAUGACAGGUGGUGCAUGGUUGUCGUCAGCUCGUGUCGUGAGAUGUUGGGUUAAGUCCCGCAACGAGCGCAACCCUUAUUAUUAGUUGCCAGCAUUUAGUUGGGCACUCUAGUGAGACUGCCGGUGAUAAACCGGAGGAAGGUGGGGACGACGUCAAAUCAUCAUGCCCCUUAUGAGCUGGGCUACACACGUGCUACAAUGGAUGGUACAACGAGUCGCGAAACCGCGAGGUCAAGCUAAUCUCUUAAAGCCAUUCUCAGUUCGGAUUGCAGGCUGCAACUCGCCUGCAUGAAGUUGGAAUCACUAGUAAUCGUGGAUCAGCAUGCCACGGUGAAUACGUUCCCGGGCCUUGUACACACCGCCCGUCACACCAUGAGAGUUUGUAACACCCAAAGA
rnacentral:rRNA from 1 species